rnacentral:rRNA from 1 species
GAUCRYGGCGACGUGGGCGGUUCKUUGCYGSCGACGUCAUSAGAAGUCCACUGAACCUUAUCAUUUAGAGGAAGGAGAAGUCGUAACAAGGUUUUCCGUAGGUGAACCUGCGGAAGGAUCAUUGUCGAA